rnacentral:rRNA from 1 species
GACGAACGCUGGCGGCGUGCUUAACACAUGCAAGUCGAACGGAAAGGCCCUGCUUUUGUGGGGUGCUCGAGUGGCGAACGGGUGAGUAACACGUGAGUAACCUGCCCUUGACUUUGGGAUAACUUCAGGAAACUGGGGCUAAUACCGGAUAGGAGCUCCUGCUGCAUGGUGGGGGUUGGAAAGUUUCGGCGGUUGGGGAUGGACUCGCGGCUUAUCAGCUUGUUGGUGGGGUAGUGGCUUACCAAGGCUUUGACGGGUAGCCGGCCUGAGAGGGUGACCGGCCCCAUUGGGACUGGGAUACGGCCCAGACUCCAACGGGAGGCAGCAGUGGGGAAUAUUGCACAAUGGGCGGAAGCCUGAUGCAGCAACGCCGCGUGCGGGAUGACGGCCUUCGGGUUGUAAACCGCUUUCGCCUGUGACGAGGCGUGAGUGACGGUAAUGGGUAAAGAAGCACCGGCUAACUACGUG